UGCGUACAUACAUCGUCUAGUAUGGGCGCUCGUCCUCGGGCUGGUACAUGGGAUCGUAGCUGCAAACGAUAUAGUUCUUUCCAUCCUUGCACUUUGAAAUCCCACAUCCGACCUCGGUGGUUUUGCCCCAGAUCACAGCAAGGUAGUGACCACAUUCCUCUUUGACACAUUUGUUGGACUUGGGGUCAUAGAACUCUUUCUCGGUGACCCAAUAUUUAGUGCCAGCUGCGCCGGUCAUGCCGUCGCCCGAGGUCAAGUUCUCACCCCAACGCCCUCUUGAGUGCUCCAUAGCGCAGUCGUCAACUCUUUUGUUGGCAUAUUCUUGGGCAUACUGGGCCAAAGUUGUGUUCCACUUAAGGGGUUUGUUGCCGACCUCUUUACGAGCCUUGUUGUGCUCCUCGAGGAAGCCAUCGAUCUCUGCUUGGGAAAUGUUUGCAGAGACAAGAGUGAAGACCAAUGCGACGCAGUAAAUGGCCAAAAGUAGCUUCGUGUUGAACGCCAUUUUUGUUUCUUGAUAUCAGAAGUUUAAGGUGUUUUCUUUCUAGCAGAGAAGGUUGGAUUGUUAGAUGUUGAUUGAAAUGGGAAAUGAGAUUGUGCAUAUUUAUGUAGUUGGGAGGGUUAAAUAUAGGAUCCUAAAAUGGGAGAGUUUGUUAAGUUCUAUAAACAAGCAUGGAGAACAAAUAAAACUUGUGUGGGAUUGCGUCACCGAGUGGAUUUGGUAUCCAUACAAACAUUGUAUUGUCAAACAAUCAAUCUAUACCAUUGAUUAAGUGAAGUUUUAUUUGAAUCCUAUAAUGAGGUGAGGAUUUUUAGCUGCAAUGACUAAAACAUUUAGCUGUACAUUGAGGAUCAAAGUUUUGACUUUGUUAACGAUAUAAAUGAACUUUGUUAUAUGACCCCUCUGUCAACUUCUUGUGGCUUUUAAAAAUAAAAGGUAAAGCAUUAUGCUUCUUACCAAAAUACAAAGAAAUGAAAGAGGAAGCAAAUUAAUUAGACAAAAAGGUCACCUUUCUUUCAUAUAGUUUGACGAAAUUUUCACUUUUGUUUUUGUAAUUUUAAUUCUAGCAAUUUGAUCCAUGUAGUUUGAUAAACACGCGUCUCUUAUGUGGAGGAGUAUUUUGUAUCGAAUUUUGGACGAAAUUCGCAGAAAAUUUAGAUGGGUCCUUGAAUUGCGAUAGAAUCAAACUACAAAGGUUAAAUUGACAAAAUUAAACUACAUGGACCAAAAAAAAAAAUCUGACAAAUUACACGGACUAAAAAUGACUUUUUUUCCCAAUUAAAUAUGGAUAUAGAGGAAAACGUUUGAAGGGUUUUGCCUCUCUUGAUCUUGCAACCACUUUGGGCUCUCAUCCGCCCGAGUUGCCCCAUAUCAGAUUGGCAUUGUUUGGCCCAUGAAAAACUCUUGCUAGUUUUCUUGGUUUUCAGGCCCAUUGUAGCAAAAAGGAAAUACGUAUGGUUGUUUAGCCUUAUGUUUCUUAGCAAACUAAUGUAUAAUUAGUCUUUUAUUAGAAUUUUGGAUAAACCAAUUACAUUUUUGUCUAGUUAUAUUUUUUUUUCCAAUAUUAAAAACAAAAAAUUCUCAAAUUCGAAUCUUCCCUCACUUAAAGAUUAAAAAAAAUAAACACAUAGACAUAACUGGAAAAACCAUAGACAUAAUUAGUGAAAUAUAAUUACAACGAACACAUUCAAUUUUUCAAAAUCUAUAAAGACAUAAGAGAUCCAAGUUCCUACCUAUAAUCACUGCAACCACAAUCUUGACCAAGGGUUUUAAUCCAAAAAAUCUUUGAGAUCUUGAAUAAAGUUAGGUGACAUCUCAACCUUUACGACAAGUGUUCUAUUCUACUUUAGCUUUCCAAUCAUAUAAAGUUCUAAUCUUACUUGAAAUGGUAUAAGAUAUCAUAUAAGAUUUGUUAUAUUUAUAAUGGAAUGGGCUAAAUUUACUUUACGUGAAGGAUGUUGUAUUAGAAAUUUUGGGCUAAGAAAAACCACCACACCUGUGCUAUAGCCCAAGUUAGUCCUUACUAAGGACCAUCCUUGUUUAUUGUACAACCACAAUCAAAUUGGUAUACAAAUCUCAUAUAUACAUAAAGAAACGGUGCAUGCAAACAUCAUGAACAAGAAAAUUUUAGGUGGCAUUUGGUAUCCUAUUCAAGUAUGGAAUUCAAAAACUUUUAUUUUUCUUGAAAACAAAGAGUCCUAAAACCCAUUUUUUAAGAUUCAAAAACUUGUUUGGUAUUCUAUGAGGGAACUCAAACUUUAAAAACAAGGAGUUCUAUAUUAGUAAGAUCAGUAGCAAACUCGAGGAGGAAGAGGCUGCAUGACACAUAAAUAGAGUAUAAUUAAUUUUUAUUUGUUUAUUGAAUCGAUAAUUUGAUAUUGAUUUGUUUAAUUAAUUGAUAAAUUACCGUCAAUUAGUCAUAGUUAUAGAUAUAAAACCCUUAUUUUGUUUUAAUUAUACAGUUAUACAAUGGUACUUUAAGAGAGAGUUUAAAUCCUCCUUCAAAUAAUUAUACAAUUAUGCAAUUGCUUUAGUUGAGAGAGCUUUGAAUAUUGUGAAAACACCAUUGCCCAACAAAAUAGGGAAUCAAUGGUUGAGUGAUAGUUUGGUUGUUUACAUCGAGAAAGAUGUUUUUUUUUUCCUUAUAUUAGUAACGCAAAUAUAAUGCGACAUUUUCAUGAUAUGAAACCUCGUCAGCAACAAUUGUAGGUUAAUUGUAAUAUUAUUUUUUGUAAUUAAUUAUGAAUAACAUUAGUAUUGUUUAAAUUAUAAGGAUAUUUAGUUGUCUUAGUCUUUAAAAAUUGCACCUCCAUUGAAAAAUUCUUGAGUCUGCCACUGCCCAUCCAAUUAUGCUUCGCCAUGUGGCAUCCUAUUACUCAAGAUGGAACGUAAUUGAUUGAGAAUAACAAAACAGUACUAUCCACGUGGUAUAUAAGUUUUUGUCAGGAAAUCUUUGGUCAAGGAUAGGCAAGUGGGGUUGUAGGAGGCAUGCAUGUGGAAUAUGUAUUGGAAUAUAGUGUGGAAAAUUUUCUUUCAAUAAUUAAUGGUCCUUUUUCCUUGCAUUCAUUUUUCGUCCUUCUGCCUUGAGGGAAAUGGUAGAAAUUGGUUGAAUUGUCAUUGUUGUCCUACAAUUCUUAUAGAGCAUAAUAGACAUUUCAAACUUUUCCUAAAUGGUCUCGGUCAAGAGAUUAUAGUCUUGUUUGUUAGGGAGGACUAGAUUAGACUAGACUAAACUAACAAAAUGUAUAUAUUUCAUGUGCAUUCAAAGCAUAAUAUGGAUAUUUUGCCUAACUUGGAGGAAUAAUGGAGAUUAUCUAUAAGAGGUUGAUUACUAAAACUUAUCCCCCUAAUCCCCUUGAAAAUGGUGGGAUUAUAAGGGAUAAGUUUUAGUCAUCAACCUAUUAUGAAUACUCCUCCUUCAUCCUCCAAGUUGGACAACAAUAUCCAAAUUAUGCAUUGAUUGCACAUAAAAUAUAGAUAUUUUGCUAGUUUAGUCCAAUCUAAUAUAGUGCUUCCUAACAAAUGAGGCUUGUCAUAGAAUAGUACAUAUCUUAACUCCCAAAUAUUUUGUGCAAUGUAAUUGCGUGGGUCGGUAGCAACUAGUUAGCUAGGACUGAGAGGUUUUCCUUGAAUGUUUCAAUUAUAUAUUAUUCUUCAUUAUUGAGUAACUUAAAAUUUCCUAUCAUCAAUUUUAAUUGUAUAUAAUUAUAAAAGGUGAUGUGACGUGAUAAGAGCGAUAGGCAAAAAACUGCAUGUGUCUGCCUAGUUUCUACGAAAUGUUUCUUGCCUCCGUUGUUCAUCAACAGAGAAAUUUCCACAGUAAUUUAUUGUCUUAACCCGGGAAUCCAAAAUUAGAGACGAGUCUACUUCCCUUGACGAGGAAACAUUAAGCGAAAAAUCAAAGUCUGAAGCAUUUCACAAAUAGCAGGACUAACUAGCAGCUAGCAUAUGCAUGCAUAGCUAGUUGCCAAAUUUUAUUCAAAUAUUAAAGUAGCUAGCGUAGUGAGCACCAUGCUAACUUCUAGCUAGUGAACCAUACAAUCAUUCCUUUCAUUUUAUUCUUGAACAGAAAAUAAAAGCUCAAUAGUGGUUUGUUAAAAAGCUUAAUUAAUUUAGUAAGGCCUCUGCCCACGAAUGUUUCCCCGGGGAUCAUAGUUGCACCCAAUAAACGUGCCUCCAUUGGUGCAUCGCGCUUUUGCACACCCUAAACGAACUGAGUUGCGCCAAACCACCUGCGUGUAAUGACCACACAUCUUCCCAGCAGCACAGGUGUUAGAGUUGUAGUCAUAGUCGGGCUUCUCCCCUACGAACAAGUUCACGGCAGCUGUGCCAGACAAGUCACCGGUGCUCUUCGCUAUGUUUUCACCAUAAGGCCCAUUAGAGUGCACUAGAUUGCAAUCACCAGCACGGGAGUUUGCAUAUCUUUGGGCAUAGGCUACUAGGUUGGGGUCCCAGGUCAAGGGAGCAACACCUACCUGGGCUCGAGCGGCGUUGUGGGCAUUGAGGUAGUCUUGUGGUGAGUCUUGGGCACCAGUGGAUUGGAGCAGGGCUAAGCCUAUGAGACAUACGAAGGCAAAGGAAAUCUUAGACAACCCCAUGGUAUUGGUUUGUAGGCUCACAAUGCAAACUAAUAUCUUGAGUGGUUGAUGAAGGAAAUGAGGCAUAUAGCAUGGAGUAUUUAUAAGGAAAGUGUUACGAGGGGACUGUAAUUUUCACUGAGGGCCAACAUUUUAUUUAUGACACAUAUUGAGAGGCCUUACUAGUCAAAGUGAAAGGAAAAUAAACCCCUCCGUGAAUAAGAACUUGAUCCAAGAUUUAGAAUUUAAACCUGACUUGAAAACCUAGAGGAAGAAAAUUUGCUUUGAUUUGGAAAGAGGACCAUCUAACAAAUUUUCUUCUUGUUUGGGUUUUUUAUAUAAAAAAUAUAUAUGUGGUCUCAACUUGUUAGCCUUUGGAUUAUUAUUUACUGUGGUGGCAAGUCUACGAUAAAAAUCAAGCAGAUUAAAGCAGAGAAAAACCAAGCAGAGGAUCCGAAUCUCUAUGUUAUCAUCAAUAAUAAAGAUAUUUGAAUUUGGGACAUCUUUUAAUAUUAAAAAAAAGAUAAAUAGAGAAAACUCUACGAGAGAAAAAAAGUUUCAGCUGUCACCCCUUUUACAGGUCGGUGAUGUAACGACCCGGUCCUAAAUAAAUUGGUAAUUAUUAAUUUAUUCAGAUAAAAUACCAUUUUUGACAGGACCCGACCCAAAUUCCCCUUUGGAAUCCGAGCCGAACCCUGUUCGUGAUCGACACUUGGUGAGUGCCGAGCAUAAAUGACCUGGUUGCCCUUUUGGUUACAAACUUAAUUUCAUUUUAGCCUUGACUUCUAAUGAAAAUUCGGCAGAGUCUUCCCUGUAAUUUGUUCAAUCCCCAAAAUUACAUCUGUCAAGACAAGCAUAUAUAUACAACCCAACUUCCAGCAUGCUUAUAUAUACAAUCAACAAUAAAGUUCGAGCCCAGGGGCAAUAUCAGAGAAUUUAUACAGAUUUAUUUACAAGAAGAACAUUUGGAGGGCCACGGACCCUACACUAAGCUGAAGAGAUGCAGGAAGCGGAAACUGCCCUGUGGUGACUUUCAGAUGCACGUCUACGGCCUGGGGGCGCAAAACCUUUAAAAGGUGAGUGGACCCAAAAACAAAGUUUUAAGAAAAAUAGCAUAAGAACAUACUAACCCCAUUGUAAAAACAGUUAUACAAAACUAAUUCAUUCUUUUAAUCAUAUACAUACUGAAAUCAAUGCACUCAUAUAUAUAUAUAUAUAUAUAUAUAUAAAUAUAUGUCAAGCAUACUCAUAUCAUCUUUAAACUCUUAAAAGCACUGAAAUCAGUUUUAAACUACCACAUAGGAGUACCCUUUUAAUUUUGUCAAUUCUUGAUAUCCGUCACUUCCUGAUAAUUCGUCAAUUCCCCUGGCAGGUCUCGGUGACAUAAAGUCAACUCAAGCCGCAAACUGGCAGGAUUCAGGGGACCGUAGUCAGCCUGAUCCGCAUUCUUGGCUCCCACGGUCCCGGCGUCCCCGAAACUCGUGAGGCAAAUGUCAAGCGCACUGACAAAAUUGAAGGCAAAUUGGAUGUCCGUGGACAUCGUCAUAUCCGAAGGCAACAUAUACCGAAGGCAACCUGGAUGCCCGUGGACAUCGUCUUAUCUGAAGGCAACUUGUUUCUAUAACUGGGUACCUAAGGUGGCUUAAGAAAAUCUAAAAUCUCUGAAACAUAUGAUAAAUAACUGAAUUUCUGUUAAAUCUAAAACUUUACUGGCAUUUAUAUGUUAUUUAGCUAAAAUUUCCUUUUCCUAUAUCCAUAACGGAUAUCUCACUCGGUAGCAUGUGAAUUCAAAACAUUUAAAAGCAUAUAUCAACUAAUAAAACACUAAUCUUUGCAUAAAACUUAUUUAAGAUCAAAUACUGUAGCUGAAUAGCAUAAAUUCAUUUAUGAAAACAAAGAGUCCACUCACAGCUGGUCCGAGUUCGCUGGACCUUUUGGAGGUCCCUCAUGUGGGUCAACUGGUGCCCGGGUGCCUGAUUCAAGUACCAUAAUAAUAUAUAUUAAUAAAACUGCUCGAUAUAAAUAUUUAAAUAAAACCCUGACCCCCAACUCCUAGAAGUGCGUGCAUCCAAUUAAAGUUACUCCUAUGCCCACAUUAACGUUCCCUUAAACCUAGGAUACAAGUCCCAUGAGUCUGGUCUCAAUCGGACGGUUAGUUUGGUCACAAACGCACGAACAAAGGCUCGAACCCAUUGAACCAGCACAAGAUGCAAAAUCCGUUCAGGGUUCAAACGUUAUCCAAAUUAAGAUCCGCGAAUUCCUACACGCUCUUGACAACACAAGGACCAUUCUAGGACUAAGUGUGGUCCCCACCAAAUGGAGGAGAGAAGGUGAUGGGUUAAAAAAAAAACAGGGAGGGGCUGUGGUCGCGAGGAAGAAGAGUGAGGGGAGAGAGAGAGAGUCAGUUUUUAAAAAAAAUCCUAAUUUCAAAAUUAUCAUUUUGCCCUUCUAUGUAUUUUGACUGUAUUUUCUUUGUUACAACUCCGAUUCAAGUCCACUCCGUGUCUACGGACUCGCUUCGUCGCGCUCUACGCACGAGGCAUGUGGAAUAGUCAAAUUCUUUCUCGGUCAAAAAGUCAACUUUUUCUUUACUAGAAUAUUCUAAGGGCAAACGUGUCAUUUCCUUUUAAUAGUUUAAUAGUUAAAUAUUAAUUAAGGUUUGGGUUAUUACAAUUUUGCCCCUAGAAUAUUUUAUUAGGUUUAAAGUUGACUUUUUGAUCGGGAAUGAAUUUGAAAAUUUCAACUGUACCGUUGCGUAGAGCAUGGCAAGAUGAGUCCGUAGACACGUAGUGAGCUUGAAUCGGAGCUGUGACGAAGAAGUGACAAGCAAAACAUCACCAAUGGUACAAUCGUAAAUAUUGAGAAAAAGGUUUGAUAAAAUUUGAUUUUUUCUCUCUCUCGGCGCAGUCUCUCUCCUCUCUCUCGCGACGGUAGUGCCAACCGGCAACAUUUUGGCUAGCCGUCCUCUCGUUCGGCCACCAAAGCUGACGGGGCCGGUACCAAAAUGACCUGGCCACCGUCCUCUUCCAACCCCAGUCCUUCACCGCCUCGGUCUGCCUCCGUUAGUUGGGUUAAGUGAUUAAGUGAGAUUAUGAGAUUAAUUUAUUGUUUGAAACUGGGGAACAGCGGAUGUUUUAUGGUUGUUUGAAGUUUAUGCAAUAUUAGAAUUUGGAAUAUAUGAUUAUUAAGAAGUGAGUGGACAUUUAUUUUAAUAUGCACUAUUUUCAAUGAUUGAAAGAAUAUGCAUGGAUUUGGUAUAUAUAUAUAUAUAUAUAUAUAUAUAUAUAUAUAUAUUUGGAAUAAGGAUUGGGAAAUUUAUAAGUUUCGAUAUGAGUAAUAUGAAAUUGAGAAUUGAAUUUUGAUGUGGGAAGUUAUAUGAUUAUAUUAUGUAUAAGUACAUACUUCCUAUACGUGGCGUUGAAAUUUCCGGCGUAUAGGAAGAAUGUAUGAUUAUGUAAGUCUCACAAGUGACGUUGGAUUUUUCAGUGUGUGAGACACUUCCUAUACGUGGCGUUGGAAUUUCUGGCGUAUGGGAAGAAUGUAUGAUUAUUUAAGUCUUACACGUGGCGUUGGAUUUCCCAAUUUGUGAGACACUUCUCAUACGUGGCGUUGGAUUUUCCGAUGUAUGGGAAGGAUAUGUGAUUUAAUGGUCUCACACGUGGCGUUGAAUUUUCCGGCGUGUGAAACACUUCCCAUACCUGGCGUUGAAUUUUCCGACGUAUGGGAAGGAUAUGUGAUUUGAUGGUCUCAUACGUAGCGUUAUAUUUUUCGGCGUGUGGGACACUUCCCAUACGUGGCGUUGGAUUUUUCGACGUAUGAGAAGGAUAUGUGAUUUGAUGGUCUCACACGUGGCGUUGGAUUUUAUGGCGUGUGAGACACUUCCCAUACGUGGCGUUGGAUUUUCCGACGUAUGGGAAUGAUAUGUGAUUUGAUGGUCUCACACGUAGCGUUGAAUUUUUCGGCGUGUGAAACACUUCCCAUAUGUGACGUUGGAUUUUCCUGCGUAUGGGAAGGAUAUGUGAUUUGAUGGUCUCACAAGUGGCGUUGGAUUUUCCGGCGUGUGAGACACUUCCCAUACGUUGCGUUGGAUUUUUCGGGGUGUGAGACACUUCCCAUACGUAGCGUUAGAUUCUCCGGCUUAUGGGAAGAAUAUGUGAUUAUUAGGUCUCACACAUGGCAUUGAAUUUUCCGGCGUAUUGGAAGAAUAUGUGAUUAUGUAGUCUCACACGUGGCGUUGAAAUUUCCUGCGUGUGAGACACUUCCCAUACGUGGCGUUGGAUUUUCCGGCGUAUAUGAAUAAUAUAUGACUAACAGGUCUCACACGUGGCGUUGGAAUAUUCCGGCGUAUGAGACAUUAUGAUUAUGUUAUUAGCUCAUCACACGUGGCGUUGGAAUAUUCAGCGUGUGAUAGAAUAAUAGGGAGAAGAAAAAGGGAUUAUUUUACUAUAUCGAGGAAAGAGUGAUGCUUAAAAGAAUUAUGUUUGGUGUGUUGUGAUUUAAAUUAAAAAGGGAAAGGAGUAAAUUCUAGAAUGUAUUAUUUUUGUGUUGCUGUAAUGGUUUGUACGUUAUCGGAAUCGGGAUUUUGUGGAAAGAACUACGUGUGGCUUGAUCCCUCAGUAAGAGUACGUAGGUAGCCUGGGGUCCCACUCAGGUGCAGCCGCAGACUAAAUUUUAUUUAUGUUGUUUUAUGGAGAUUGGUUCUGACCUGGUCGUUGGUCCUGAAAUUCGGUUGAAAACGAGAUGCGAUUAAAUAAUUGUUCAUACUCCCGUCUGGCUGAGGGAGGAUUGUGUAAAUGUGUUCUGGUCAAAACAGGCACAAAGCUUGUUUUGGAUUGAUGUACGAUUUGGGCUAAAACCUUAAACUAUUUGCGAUUGCGUUAAGAGGUUAAAACCUCGCAUAUUGGAUAGUUGGGAAAGUUAGAUGAUGUAAAUUUCAUUUGGCAUUCAUAAGUGUGUUUGAGUUUAUUAUUUGCCUUGUUUAAGGUAUGAUUUGGCUUAAGGACUUUGUUGGUAGUUUGGUUUCGGAUCAUUUGAGGGCCGGAUGCCGAUUUUGUGAAUUGCAUGAAAUUAUCUUGUGCAUGCUGCCGGUUGGUGAUAUUAAAUGUGUUUUAUGCAGGUUGAAAUUUUUGGGAAUUGUUCAAUUUACAGGGGAGACUCUGCCAAAAUUUUGGUAGAAAGUCUCGGUCUGUAAUAAGUGGGCCCGACGUCGAUGUGAUGUUGGAAUUUCCACAGGACUCAUCUCGGGUUUCAAGGAAUUCGGGGUGGGUCCUGUCAGGUGACCUCCAUCCCUCUCCUCCUCCCCUUCCUUCCCCUCUUUACGUACCCUCCCAGACAUGUCCCUCCCUUAUCCACCUCUACCCAUCCCCUCCAGGGCCUCCAUCUUAGUUGAGUGUGGUGGCCGCAGAAAAACUUAGUUGAUAAUGUGAUGUGGUAUUGACUUGUUAACUAAAAGUAUUUGAGCCAUAAUAACUAAUUUAUUGGUGUGUAAUAUAUAUAAAUUCUAUUAGAGUGCUACUAUUUCCAUCCACUUAUCCUAUUUUUCUAUCAAUCUUAUCUUCUCACUCAUCAUGUAAAUUUGAAAAAGCACAAUCCUAUUUUUCCACCCAACAUUAUUUCUAAAAUACCCUUUAUAAAUCACCUUAUGUGGUAUGCCAACUCAUCUAAUACAACUAAGUUUUUUUAAUUGUUUUAUUAUUAUAUCCUAAUUAAAGCAAUAAUUACCAAAAAGUCUUUCAAUCCCCCUUUUUCUUCUUCCUCCUCCCCCACACUCUUCCCACAAAAUUUCCAUUAUCGCCAGAUUUCUCACGGGCGCCGCUAAACCCAUCUCGCUCACUCAUUCUUCCAUGACAGUUCCCUUUCUUCACCAUGGCAGUUGUAUCGGAUUUCUCACUGCAACUGCAUCAUUGUUCAUGCCUCUCUCAUCUUCUAUAUUUUCUAGAUCUAUAUAUAAAGAUAAUUGGUUUAGAUAAUUACAUUGUUCUGGGUGUUUGGGAUACAAUAACUAAUAAUUAUAAAACCUAUCAUGAACCGAUUUGUUUUAAGACUUCAACUAAGAAAGUUAUUGAGAUAUUUGUUGUGGUGAUGAAAGAAAAGAUUUUUUCAGAUUUGCAGGAAGAGUUUAGUUGAAUUUUUUGGAUGGUCUAAAGAGGAUAUAAGGUUUCUAUAGGAGUAGCCUUUUGAAUUAUCUAGCCACUCCCCAUCUGAUUAUGCUUCGCCAUGUGAAAUCCUAUUACUCAGGACGAAACGUAAUUGAUUGAGAAUAAUAAAACAGUGCUAUCCACGUGGUAUUGACAAGCAAGUGGGGUUGUAGGAGGCAUGCAUGUGGAGUAUGUAUUGGAAUAUAGUGUGGAAAAUAAUUUUCUUUCAAUAAUUAAUUGUCCCUUUUCCUUGCAUUCAUUUUUCGUCCUUCUGCCCUGAGGGAAAGGGUAUAAAUUGGUUGAAUUGUCAUUGUAGUCCUACAAUUCUUAUAGAGCGUAAUAGACAUUUCAAACUUUUCCUAAAUGGUCUCGGUCAAGAGAUUAUAGGGUUGUUUGUUAGGGAGGACUAGAUUAGACUAGACUAAACUAACAAAAUGACUAUAUUUCAUGUGCAUUCAAAGCAUAAUAUGAAUAUUUUGCCUAACUUGGAGGAAUAAUAGGGACUAUCUAUAAGAGGUUGAUUACUAAAACUUAUCCCCCUAUCCACCUCUACCCAUCCCCUCCUCCAGGCCCUCCAUCUUAGCUGAGUGUGGUGGCCGCAGAAAAACUUGGUUGAUAAUUUGAUGUGGCAUUGACGUGUUAACUAAAAGUAUUUGAGCCAUAAUAACUAAUUUAUUGGUGCGUAAUAUUCAUCAGUUGUAUUAUGUUGUUUCUUUCUGUAAACAUCGAAAUUUCAACAUCUAGAAAGCUAGGAAAUAAUCAAGUCGCCAAGACAUCCCCCUUGACAUUUAUUGGAUUGCCAAACUUUUACUAGUAUUACUACAUUAAAAUUUGCAUAGCGCUUUCACUUUACUUCCAAGAAAGGGAAGAGAAAAGAAAAUAAGAAAUGAAAAACAAAAAACAAGUCAAAAUAUGCAUGAAUGCUCGAUCGCAUGAUUCUCCGAUCUAUGAAUUCUUUUCUAUUUUGCUUUUUAUGAUUUAGGUUUAAUCAGAAGACCAAAAAUAAAAAUACUAAUGGCCAGGAUCCCUUCAGGCACACACUGUGAUCAAUUAAGCCUAUUAGUAAGGCUUCACCCCAACAGAGUUGCCUGCAGGAUCAUAGUGGCAAACGACAUAGGAACCUCCAUAGGCGCACUGGACUUUGGCACACCCAACAAGCCCUGUGUCACGCCAAACGACCUGCGUAUAAUGGCCACACUGCUUCCCAGGGGCGCAGGUGUUGGUCUUGUAAUCAUAAUCGGCCUUCUCCGCCACCCAUUGGUCCACAGCCAAUUUCGCCGUCAAGUCUCCGUCAGGGCUCAUUGCAAGGUUUUCACCAGGGCCUGAAUUCGAGUGCACGAGGUCGCAGUCGCCGGCACGUUGGUUAGCAUAGUUUUUCGCAGAAUCUGCUAGGCCUUCAUCCCAGUCCAAGGUGUCGAGGCCAACCGCCGCUCGCGCCGCGUUGUGGGCUUUCACGUAGUCAUCUGGGGCGUUUUGGGCACGGGCUAACCCUAUUAGGCAAAUUAAAAGUAGGGCUAAUGAGAUCUUGUUCUUGCACAACCCUUCCAUAAUGUUAAUUAGUGGUUAAUUGUAAUAAUCUACAGAUUGUUCUGCUAAAGAGUUUCUUGUUGGAUAUGGAUUGGAAAAUACCUCAUUAUAUAUGUUGGAGAAAAUUAUAUAUGUUGUUAUUUUUGUGGAUGUGAAAAUUAAUUUUGUUUGCAUCAUGUGUAACCAAGGAAGAGCCCUAUAAGUUGCCGAAAUACCCGCACCUUGCAGAACCUAAAAUAGCUAGGCUCCUUUUAAUUGAGGAGGAGCUCCUACUCAAAACAAAUAGAAUUUUGACACUUGACAAAUUCCUUUAACCUUAUUUUUUUGUUUGAACUUGAACAAGUCUCAAACUUUUCCUUGGCCUAAACUUUUGUCAUUUCUAAUUUAAUCAGGGCUGAUGAGAUCUUGUUUUUUUUUAAAUUUAUAAUUAUUUAUAAUUUUUUUUUAGUAUAGGGGAUGAGGGUUGCUCACACACACAUACACAUAAAACUAAGAUGACAUGGGGGUUCGAACCUGAGACCUCUGGUUUGUAAGUGAAAGUCCUUUUCCACUAGGCUAGACUCCGUUAACGAUGAGAUCUUGUUCUUGGGGUGACGGAGACAUUUGUUGAUGGAAAAAUAUUGAGAUGUACGUCUAGUGGUUGGAUCAUUUAGUUAAAUUAGUUUUGUUUGCAUAUGUGUAACAAUGUAAGUGUAACCAAAGAAGAACCCUAUAAGUCGCCAAAACACCCGCCCCUUAAGAACUAAAAUCUUUUGUGCCAUUUGUAUCACCACCAUAAAUAUCAAGAAACUGAAAUUGUUAUUAAUCAGCACCAAAAAAAAAGAAAAAAAAAAAAGACUCCAACUAGUUAAACAAUUGUGUCAAUUUGGUCAAAUAUAGAGACAUUAUUACAGUUACAAAGAACCAUCAUAUUGGCUAUGGAGUAAAAUUGCGGAAAUACGCUCACCUUUCACGAAAAUAAAUGGGAGCCACAAAAUGAACCAUCAUGUCCUGGAAGAAGAUUAGCGACGUUUGUUAUUCCUUUUGUCGGCGUUUGUUAAAUUUUUCGUCUUGAUCUUUUUUGGUCAAUAAAGUCAAGAAACUCUGUGAGUUUUUUUGUGUUUUUUCUUCUCAUAAUUCAAGAAACUUUAUUGAGUUUGUUGGGUGUUCUUAGGGGGGUGUAUUCAAUUAGGAUUCUAGAGCGUUGAAAAAGAUUUUAAAAAUCCGGGUGUAUUCAAUUUGGAUUUAUACAAACUUUUAAAAAGUCUAUAACAGUUUGAGUGUAUUCAAUCUAGACUUGGUUGAACUUAUAAAAUGUCCAUCUAAAUGUGGGUGUAUUCAAUUAGGACUUGGAAAAAGUCUAAAUAAAUUUACCUGUAUUCAAAAGGAGAUAGAUUUGGAAGGAUUUAAUUAAGUGUUGGAGUUUGGAGAAUUUGUAGGUUUUAGGUAUAAAUAAUAAAGGCCAACAUAAGUCUAACCUCCACCCGAAAGAUUUCAUAUGACUUUUUUAUAUAUAUAUUUUUCUCCCUGUGUUAGAAAAUUUUCCAUCGUUUGGAAAACAAUGCACUAAGCCAUGCACUGACCUUGGGUGGUUACAAGCGUCCUGUGUUAAGCAAAGCUCCUCCAUUAGUGAUUUCUUCAAAUCAACCAGUUCGAGUUAUUGGGAGGAAAGCUCGGCUAGAGAUUUUUCGAUCUCCGAUAAGUUCCCCUUGGAUAUCUCUCGGCAUGAAGCCAACAUCAAGGCGGUGGAAGGUUGAGAUAUAUUUCCAUCACCAUAACAUUACUAGAUGAUAGGGCCCUUGCUUUUUGGAUAAAGGGUUGUUUUUUGUUUUGUUUUUUUUAAAUUGAAUUUUUGGACAAAGAGUUUGCUGUUCGUGAACAAAAUCAAAGGGAAAUUUCCAACUAGUGGAAAUAUCGAAGGGAAAUUCAAUUUGAAAUUCAUUGUUUAGGUAUGAAAGUUUCCAACUUGUGGAAAUUUCAAAGGGAAAUUCACUGUUUAGGUAUGAAAGUUUUCAACUCAUGGAAAUUUCAAAGGAAAAUUCAUUGUUGUGCACACAAGUAGAGGAAGAAUUUGGAAAUAAAAAAAAAACAAAAAACAAAAAGGGGAUGGUCGACUAGUGGCUAGGUCAAGAUAGUUUAAAGAAAAUAGUGUUGGGAAGAAAGAGUGAUAAAAGAAAAUAGUAUUGGGAAGUCUAUGCAAAUAUAUCUGAAUUUAUAACAAAAGUUUAUACAAAAGUAUGGAAGUCUAUAAUAAAAGCCUAUAUAAGUUCAUUAAAAAUCCGGGUAAAACAAUAGGAGUUAUACAAUUCCAGGAAAUCUGUCACUUAAAAAAAAUCUUUCACAAUCGUAUACAAUCCUAAUUGAAUACAACCCCCUUAGUCUCUUUAGAAGAGUCAUGCCAGUUCGUGGCUAAUUUUGUCCUUGAUAUCAUUGAAUUAUAUUUGGGAAAUUAUGGCGGUAGAAAUGGGUAUGGAAAAGUUAUUUUCGAGAGUGAUUCUCUCCAGAUCCUUUUCAGCUUUUUUACUGGCUCAAGUCACUAGGGAAGUUUUUACCUAUGUCUGUCAUAUUGCUAAUGGGAUGGCUCCCUUUAUUGUUUAUAUCCUUUGUACUCUUUUUUCACUGUAUCGUCUUUUUAUAAAUUAAAAAUAAAUAAAAUAAAAGGGAGCCACACAAAAUAGUUGGACAUUCCAACAAAAUGCGCAAUACGUUCUUUUGACUGAUGCAAUUUGUUUUGCAAGAGAUUGUUGCUCAACUGAUUAAGAAUAUUUACCCUUGAAUCCUAUGUCCAAGGCUCGAUUCCCCUUAGGGCCCAUUUGGUUCAUGGGAAAGGAGGUUUGGGAAUGAGAAUUCAAUUGUUUUCCCAUAUUUGGUAAGUCCACGCAUGGGAAAUAGUUGCCUGGCACAUGGGAAAGUAGGGGGGAAAGUGAAGCCCUCCUCUUAACUUAAGUUUUGUUUUCCUUCAUCAUGGGAAAGUUUGGAAAAAUAAGCCAACAUUCAAUGCACAAUUUUCAUGAGUAUUUUGUCCAUGAACAAUUUAGAAUUACAAUGUAUCAUUAAAUGCUUUCUUUUUUUAUUUGAUUUAAUAUGGGUAUAAUUGGAAAAUUAUACAAAAUUUGUUUUCCAUUCCUACUUAAAACAAACAUGGGAAAGGAAACAAACGGGACCUUAUCUUAAAAAAGAAAAAAAAAAGAAAAAAAAAAAGAGAGACAACUUUGGACGCAGCAUGCAUAUGUCUCCAGUUUCCAAAAUAAUAAAAAGUCAUUCUUCAUAUCCAUAAAGUUUAGCAUCCACCAUGCAGGUGAAUAAGAUACAAUAGAAUUGAUGAUCUAACAUCACUUCUUAAUUCAUUUUAUUCUUGAUAAUAUAGCUUCAUAGAUAUAGUUGGUUUAGUAAGGCUUCUCCCCAACAUAGUUGCCUGGCGGAUCAUAGUUGCACCCGAUGAAGGUACCUCCACUGUUGCACCUCACUUUUGCACACCCUACACGAGCUGUGUUACGCCAAACAACCUGCGUAUAAUGCCCACACAUCUUGCCAUCGGCACAAGUGUUAGAGUCGUAGUUAUAGUCGGCCUUCUCCGCCACCCACAUGUUCACGGCAUCCGUGCCCGACAAGUCAGCGGUGCUCAUGGCAAGGUUUUCGCCGUAGGGCCCACCAGAGUGGACAAGAUUGCAGUCGCCAAUGUGUUGAUUGGCAUAGUCUUGCGCAUAGCCCUGUAGCUUCUCAUCCCAUGACAAUGGCCCGACGUUUACCGCCGCUCGAGCGUUGUUAUGGGCAGUGACGUAGUCUUGUGGUGUGUCUUGGGCAUGAGUGGAUUGGAGAAGGGCAGAGCCUAAAACACAAACGAGGGCUAGUAAAAUCUUGGACAGCCCCAUGUUGGGUUUUGAGAGUUUGAUAAUGUAUGAAGGAGUUUUUUGUUGCGAGAACGAUGCAUAUGGUGUGGGGUAUUUAUAAUGGAAAAUGUGGAAAUUUAUAUGCGUUACCAUGCAAGAGCGUUCCUAAUACGUUACUGACUCUAUCAAUAAUGGAGUGUGCUUGUGCAAUAUAAUAUCAAAAUACUUGAGAGCUUGUAAAAUAUAUUAUCGAUGCAUCUAGAAAACAUAUGAGUUGCUUUGCCAUCAGAAAAUAAAAAAUAAAAAAACGUAUGAGUUGAUCAGUUAGCUAGGUCUAACUAAGGCUAACCGUCAAUUUCGGGGAAUAAAUUGAUGGCAAACUUUGGAAGACAAGAAAAGAAAAGUAAAUUUUGGAAAAUAGGGGAAAGGAAUAUGAAGUAUAUACCAUACCAUGAUUGCUUUGGAAAAUCCUUUAUGGACUUUACCAUACAAUGUGUAGUGCGUGUACUUGUACGGGUCUUGAAAAAGAAAGAGAUAUUUAGUCAUAUAUCCAUUCUUAGCACUAAAAUUAUAAAUAAAUUAUACAUCAUUUAAUUUCUAUAAACAAACCCAACAAAAACCCAAAAAAUGACAGCCGACUCUAUUGAAUUUAAUUUUAAUUAUUAAAUUACUUUGAUGCCCUAUUGAGUGUUUUGGGCUUUUUUAUGAGGUUUUGGGGUUGGGUUCAUUUUAAGAAAUCAAUUACAGUUUUGUAAUUCAAAAGAAGUUAAAAGCAUUUUUGUUAUGUUGUAAAUCGGCUUUGGGUGUGUUUCUAAACUCCAUUUCAUAUAUGAUUUUUUUUUAAUGUAAAUAAUUUGGGCUCUUAUAUUGGGUAUAAUAGUGAAUCUCCCAAAAGGAAAAGUGAAGUCAAUAUAACUGUUGAGGCCCAAAAAAUCUAAGGAGAUUCACUAUUAUACCUAAGGGCCUUCAUGACUCUACUCUCUAGGAUAAUGAGGUAUUGUCAUCUUCUCAAUACGAAGGCAAAUGAAUGAAAAUUGGAGAAAAGAGACUUGAGCAAAUUAUGUUGUGAUAUUGGAGCAUGAGAUUGAUAGGUACAUCACCGACCCUAUUGAAGAUGUGGUUGACUUAUUCGAUGUUUUAAAGUGGUGGAAAUUGUAUGAGGUUAAGUAUCCGGGUUUGGCACUUAUUGCAAAGGAUGUGCUUGCCAUCCCAGUAUCAACGGUGGCUUCAGAAUCAUGUUUUAGCACGGGUGGUUGGAUAGUUAAUUCAUUUCGUGCUUCUUUGACUCCUAAGAUUGUGGAAGCCUUAAUUUGCUCUCAAAAUUGGUUAAGGUAAGAUGACAUAUCCUCUUUAUAAUAUGAGCCAACAAUUCAAGAGAUGAAGUUGAAUUAGGUAUUUCUUUGUAAUUUUAUAUGCUUUAUUAGUGUAUUUUACAAUUUGUAGGUUUCACUAAUGUUUUAAUGGGUUUUUUUAAUUUUAUAUAGAUUUAUGAGUUCAUCCACACCUCCGAAGUCUGCCCCAGCUACUUUUUAAUGUUAGGAGGAAUUUAAUGAAGUUGCAACACUUAGGACUACAUGCUUUUGUGGAGUUUUUGCAUGCUUGUAUUUUGUUUAUAUUUUGCUGCAGUGGGAUUGUAAUUUAUUUUGAUGAAUUUGGAUUGUAAUUUAUUUUUUGCUAAAGUUGGAAUAUAAUUUAUAUUUGUUGAAGUUGGAUUGAUUUUGAUGUGUUAAAAGCUUGGUGGAAGUUUAAAUUUGAGCUUGGCCUAUUUGAUAAUGAACAAAUUGGUAGGUUUGUAGUAUAAUUAAAUUUUGGGCAGGUCUGUAAUAUAAUACAAUUUUGGGCAGAUCUGUAAUGAAAUAAAAUUAUAUAUUACAAUUUUGGGCUCAGGCCAAAAAUCAAAAAUCGCAAGAACCAAACUGGAAUUGGGCAGGUCUGGGUUGGUUCGGUCUUGCCUAUAAAUUUUUGUCAAAACCAGACAAAACCGAAUUGGUCUUCAUUUUCAAUUCAAGUUUUAAUUUUAUAAGAAAUCGGCCUGAGCCGGACCAUACUCACCCUUAAUAUCCAUUAAGUUUAGCAUCCACCAUGCCGGUGAAUAAGAUCAAUGAAUUGAUGAUCUAACAUCACUUCUUAAUUCAUUUUGUUCUUGAUAACAUAGCUUCAUAGAUAUAGUUGGUUUGUUUUUUUAGACGAAUAAAUAUAGUUGGUUUAGUAAGACUUCUACUCAACAUUAUUGCCAAUGGUGAAUAUUAUUGGCGCAUCCAUGCACCUGGCACAUGGUAGAAUUUUUGCAUAGGAGUUGUAAGGCUCGUAAGGCUUCUCCCCAACAUAGUUGCCUGGCGGAUCAUAGUUGCACCCGAUGAAGGUACCUCCACUGUUGCACCUCACUUUUGCACACCCUACACGAGCUGUGUUACGCCAAACAACCUGCGUAUAAUGCCCACACACCUUGUCAUCGGCACAAGUGUUAGAGUCGUAGUUAUAGUCGGCCUUCUCCGCCACCCACAUGUUCACGGCAUCCGUGCCCGACAAGUCAGCGGUGCUCAUGGCAAGGUUUUCGCCGUAGGGCCCACCAGAGUGGACAAGAUUGCAGUCGCCCAUGUGUUGAUUGGCAUAGUCUUGCGCAUAGGCUUGCAGCUUCUCAUCCCAUGACAAUGGCUCGACGUUAACCGCUGCUCGAGCGAUGUUGUGGGCAGUGAGGUAGUCUUGCGGUGCGUCUUGGGCAUGAGUGGAUUGGAGAAGGGCAGAGCCUAAAACACAAACGAGGGCUAGUAAAAUUGUGGACAGCCCCAUGUUGGGUUUUGAGAGUUUGAUAAUGUAUGAAGGAGUUUUUUGUUGCGAGAACGAUACAUAUAGUGUGGGGUAUUUAUAAUGGAAAAUGUGGAAAUUUAUGUGCGUUACUAUUCAAGAGCGUUCCUAAUACGUUACUGACUCUUAUCAAUAAUGGAGUGUGCUUGUGAAAUAUAAUAUCAAAAAUACUUGAGAGCUUGUGAAAUAUAUUAUCGAUGCAUCUAGAAAACAUAUGAGUUGCUUUGCUAUCAGAAAAAAUAAAAUGAAAAAACGUGUAUGAGUUGACCAGUUAGCGUCUAAAGAAGGCUAACCGUCAAUUUCGGGGAACAAAUUGAUCGCAAACUAUGGAAGACCAGAAAAGAAAAGUAAACUUUGGAAAAUAGGGGAAAGGAAAUUCUUUAUGGACUUUACCAUACCAUGUGUAGUGCGUGUAGUCUGUACGUGUGAAUGAGCUAAUAUGGCUCAAGUCCCACCAUGUUUACAGGAGGGUCGUAAUUGCAAAGAAACAAAACUCCACCCACUAUUACGCUGUACCCUUCCACACCCAAGACAAACCCAAGUGUCCCAAACACACUAAGUUUUGGACUCGUAGUUAUAUAAUUGGGCUUCGGCUCGACCAAGGCUCUCUUGGGCGCUUCUGAAUGUACCAAAUUACAAUUUUCAGCCCAGGCAAAGUCCAUAAACUGAAAUGUCAUUGCCCCAAUUUCCGCGUGUCAUUUAAUAAUUUUCAUGCUUAAAUUGCCAAACAAUGGAAAUAUCAAUUUCUCCUCUUUAAUUUCCGGCUUUUAACCAAAUUCCAAGUUAUUUUCCUCCAUCCAAACGGAGGGUUAAGGACUCUCUCUCUCUCUCUCUCUCUCUCUCUCUCUCUCUCUCUCUCUCUCUCUCUCUCUCUCUCUCUCUCCCAUUUGUGUACCGUGUCCUAUGAAAGUCAUGAUUUUCGGGGUUUUUAUCACAAAAAGGUACUGGAAAAAUCCGAAAAUUGCUCCUUAAGAAAUAAAAUUUAUUCUUAAAAAAAAAAACCUGAAAUAAAAAAUAAGACCGCAAAUUAACUAAUAGAUGUGGAGGAAAAUGGUUGGUCGGGUUCAGAGUCAGAAAAUUACGAGUAAGGAUCUUGUCCUCACCUCUUAAAAUUACGAGUUAAUAUGGUCAAGUCUCUUUGAGUUUUAGGGAGAGAAGUAUCACUAGCCCAAAAUCAAGAGUUAAUUAGUAUUAAUUAAAGAGAGGUUGAUGACAAUUAAAAAUAAAGAGAAUGAAAUAAAAACUUACAAAAAAUGAAAUAAUUUUUACUUCUUUUUUAUAUAUGUCAUCUCCUCUUAUAAUCAACAGUCACGUAAAAGAAUGUUGGGAGGGUGAGGAGGUAAAUUCGUACACACCCGUUACAUGUAAUCGCCUCUAUCCCCUCUUAUUCUUGUAAUUUCUCAACAACAAAAAUACAAGACCCCCAAACAGGCCUAGUCGAGGUGUGCACGUAUGUUUGUGUGACAUGUAAAUUUAGUGUCUAGUAGGGAUGGUCCUCCUCAUUAUAAGCAGGAUCAUAGUUGCAGAUGACAUAGUUUAGUCCAUUCUUGCACUUUGAAAUGCCACAACCAACUUCGGUGGUUUUGCCCCAAAUCACACCAAGGUAAUGUCCACAUUCGUCUCGGACGCAUUUGUUUAGGUCGUAGUCAUAAAACUCCUUCUCAGUGACCCAAUACUUGGCGGCAGCUGCUCCAGACAUGCCUUCUCCUGAGGCCAAGUUCUCACCAUAAGGCCCCAUUGAGUGCUCCAUGGCGCAGUCAUCAACUCUCUUGUCUGCAUAAUCUUGGGCAUACUUGGCUAGGGUCGCGUUCCAUUUGAGUGGACGGUUGCCGACCUGGGCGCGGGCCUUGUUGUGUUCCUCCACGAAGCCAUCGAUAUCUUCUUUGGAAAGGUCUGCAGAGACAAGAGUGAAGAACAAUGCAACCGAGCAGAUGGCCAGAAGAAGCUUGAUGUUGAACGCCAUUUUGUUUCUCGGUAUGAGAAAGGUCUCGGAUGUUAUUGUAUUAGAGAAUGUUGAAUUGAUAGAGGUUAAUUGAAAGGGGAAAUGAGAUUGUGCAUAUUUAUAUAGUUGAGAGGGUUAAAUAUAGGAUCCUUGAAAAUGGGAGGGUUUCUCAAGUUCUAUAAAUAACCAUGGAGAACAAAUAAGACUUGUGAGAGUGGAUUUUAGAUUCAUAGAAACAGUGUAUUGUCGGACAAUCAAUCUAUACCAUUGAUUAAGUAGGUUUUAUUUUAAUCCUAUAUUACAAUAUAUAAUCAUUACUUAGGUGAGGAUUUUUAGCUGCAAUGACAAACAUUUAGCCUUGCAAUGAGGAUCAAAGUUUUGACUCUCGUCUUCUCUAUCUCAUAAAUAAAGUAGUCGUUACUCCAGAAUGAUAUAAAUGAACUUGUAAUAUGGCCCCUCUGUCAACUUCUUGUGGCUUUUAAAAAUAAAAGGUAAAGCAUUAUGCUUCUUACCAAAAUACAAAGAAAUGAAAGAGGAAGCAAAUUAAUUAGACAAAAAGGUCACCUUUCGUUCAUGUAGUUUGAUGAAAUUUUCACUUUUGUUCUUGUAAUUUUAAUUCUAGCAAUUUGACCUAUGUAGUUUGAUAAACACGCGUCUCUUACGUGGAGGAGUAUUUUGUACCGAAUUUUGGACGAAAUUCGCUGGAAAUUUAGAUGGGUCCUUGAAUUGCGAUAGAAUCAAACUACAAAAGUUAAAUGACAAAAUUAAACUACAUGGAUCAAAAUAAAAAAAAAUUCCAACAAAUUACACGGACCAAAAAUGACUUUUUUUCCCAAAUAAAUAUGGAUAUAGAGGAAAACGUUUGAAAGGUUUUGCCUCUCUUGGUCUUGCAACAACUUUGGGCUCUCAUCUGCCCGAUUUGCCCCAUAUCAGAUUGGCAUUGUUUGGCCCAUGAAAAACUCUUGCUAGUUUUCUCGGUUUUCAAGCCCAUUGUAGCAAAAAGGAAAUACAUAUGGUUGUUUAGCCUUAUGUUUCUUAGCAAACUAAUGGAUAAUUAUUCUUUUAUUAAAAUUUUGGAUAAACCAAUUACAUUUUUGUCUAGUUAUAUUUUUCUUUCCAAUAUUAAAAACAAAAAAAAUUCUCAAAUUCGAAUCUUCCCUCACUUAAAGAUUUUUUUUUAAAAAAACACAUAGACAUAACUGGAAAAACCAUAGAAAUAAUUAGUGAAAUAUAAUUACAACGAACACAUUCAAAUUUUUAAAAUCUAUAAAGACAAAAGAGAUCCAAGUUCCUACCUAUAAUCACUGCAACCACAAUCUUGACCAAGGGUUUUAAUCCAAAGAAUCUUUGAGAUCUUGAAUAAAGUUAGGUGACAUCUCAACCUUUACGACAAGUGUUCUAUUCUACUUUAUCUCUCCAAUCAUAUGAAGUUCUAAUCUUACUUGAAAUGGUAUAAGAUCAGUCCUGAUCUCUUGGACUACAGGGGUUCAAGAGAUUUGUGGUCACUCACCGUUGGAUGUAAAUUCAACGGUUCACUCACUCUUGCACUUCUUUGAAGAAACUUUUUUGAACCAUUGGAUUAAUAUCUAACGGUGGGUGACCACAAUCUCUUGGUCUCCUGUGGUUCAAGAGAUCAGGACUCGGUAUAAGAUAUCAUAUAAGAUUUGUUAUAUUUAUAAUGGAAUGGGCUAAAUUUACUUUAAAUUUACUUUACGUGAAGGAUGUUGUAUUAGAAAUUUUGGGCUAAGAAAAACCACCACACCUGGGCUAUAGCUCAAGUUAGUCCUUACUAAGGACCAUCCUUGUUUAUUGUACAACCACAAUCAAAUUGGUAUACAAAUCUCAAUUCAACAAAUCUCAUAUAUACAUAAAGAAACGGUGCAUGCAAACAUCGUGAACAAGAAAAUCUUAGGUGGCAUUUGGUAUCCUAUUCAAGUAUGGAAUUCAAAAAUUUUUAUUUUUCUUGAAAACAAAGAGUCCUAAAACCCAUUUUUUAAGAUUCAAAAACUUGUUUGGUAUUCAAUGAGGGAACUCAAACUUUAAAAACAAGGAGUUCUAAAAUCCAUGUUUGAAGAUUAAAAAACUUGAUCAGACCAAAAAAAAAAAAAAAAGAUUAAAAAACUUGUUUGUUAUGCAACUUGAAAACAGUUUCUUUGAAAAAAAUUCUAUAAAAUAGAUUUGUUAUAUUUUCAAGUAUUUGGGUGUUUUUGAGUUAUUUUUUAGUUUAGGUUUUCAAAACUAGGUCUCUACCAAAUUUUUUUUUUGAGUUUUGGACUUAAAUAAUUUUUUAUUUUUUAUUUUUUGUAAAGUUUCACAAGUUGGAUUCAAAUAGAAUACCAAACAUGCACUUCACAUCCUUUUGAUAUUCCAUUUGUCAAUUAAAGACAAAGGCGUGAUGCAGAGGCAGACGAGAGAGAUUGACAAAAAAAAAAAAGAACGAGAAUGAGAUAAUAUUUCAGUUAGAAAUUACAAAAAUGAAAUAAUCUUAUUCUUUUUCAUUUUUUAUUCACUCUUGUCACCUCUCACAAUACCAUAUCAAGUGCUAGUCACGUAAAAAAAUGUUGUGAGUGUGGGGAAGUAUUUGUAUACAUUCGUUACAUUUUAUUUUUCUAAUGUCAGUAAAAGAAAAAAAAAAAACACUGGACCUCUCAACAGGCCUAAUGUUGGUGUGGUUACACGCACGUGAGCAUACAUACAUCAUCUAGUAGGGGCGCUCGUCCUCGGGCUGGUAUAUGGGAUUGUAGCUGCAAACUACGUAGUUUUGUCCAUUCUUGCACUUUGAAAUGCCAUAUCCGACCUCGGUGAUUUUGCCCCAGACCACAGCAAGGUAGUGACCACAUUCGUAUUUGACGCAUUUGUUGGACUUUUCGUCAUAGAACUCCUUCUCGGUGACCCAAUACUUGGUAGCAGCUGCACUGCUCAUGCCGUUGCCAGAGGCCAAGUUCUCACGCCAACGCCCAAUCGAGUGCUCCAUGGCGCAAUCGUCAACUCUUUUCUCGGUAUAUUCUUGGGCAUACUGGCCUAAGGUUGUGUUCCACUUGAGGGGUUUGUUGCUGACCUCUUUACGAGCCUUGUUGUGCUCCUCGUCGAAGCCAUUGAUCUUUGCUUUGGAAAUGUUUGCAGAUUGUUGUGCUCCUCGUCGAAGCCAUUGAUCUCUGCUUUGGAAAUGUUUGCAGAGACAACAGUGAAGACCAAUGCGACGCAACAGAUGGCCAAAAGAAGCUUCAUGUUGAACGCUAUUUUUGUUUCUUGAUAUGAGAAGUUUAAGGUUUGUCCUUUAUAUAUAUAUAAUUGUUGAAUUAAUAAUUGACACAAAUUAAUGUACUAAUCAUCCAAUUAUAAACUAGGCAUGAGUAAAGAAAAGUAAAUGAAAUGAAUAUAUGUGAUUUAAGUGAUAUAAUCAUAAACCUAAACUCUUAUUUACAAAAUUAUAUAUGUAUCCGGGCCUAAUGGGCCGGGCUAUCUUAGGCUUAAUCGGGCUGGGUUAGGCUUCAGACACCCAAGCCCAAGCUAAGCCCAGCCCAAGACGGUCGGGCCAUCUCAAAGCCAAUAAUGAGUCGGACCGGACUUUUUUUUAAUGGGCUUGGUGGGCCCCCAUUGGCCCAUGAGCCCACAUACCAAAUGAUGAGGCCUAUCUAUGGCUAACACCCUUUGACCACAAAUUGGCUGUGGUCAAAAUGAUUAAAAGCCACAGGUAAUAUGUGGCUUAUAAGUUCGUUUUCUAGUAGUGACGAUUGUUUAGCCUUAUGUUUCUUACCAAAGUAAUGGAUAAUUAGUCCCUUAUUAAAAUUUUGGAUAAACCAGUUAGGUGUUUGUCUAGUUGUAUUUUUCUUUCCAAUAUAAGAAGUCUUAAAUUUGAUUCUUCCCUCACUUGAAGACGAAAAAAAAAACAUAGACAUAAUUGAUGACAUAUAUUUACAACCAACACAUUCAAAUUUUCAAAAUCUAUAAUGACAUAAAGCAAUCCAAGUUCCUACCUCUAAUCACUGCACCCACAAUCUUGACCAAGUGUUUUAAUCCAAAAAUUCUUUUAGAUCUUGAAUAAAAAGUUAGGUGACAUUUCAACCUUUACCACAAGUGUUCUAUUAUACUUUAGCUUCCAAUCAUAUGAAGUUCUAAUCUGACUUGAAAUGGUAUAAGAUAUCGUACAAGAUUUGUUAUAUUUACUAGCCUCUUGGCACAUGCUCACGCAUGUACCAAUUGGUUUUAUUUUUUAUUUUUUAUUUUUUUAUUUUUAAAAUAAAAAAAACAACAUGGAUAGUUAUGUUCCACAAAAGUAGGACAUAUUAUAUGAUUUUGUUUUUAAUUUUAAUUUUUUUAAUAUAAAAAAUGUGAAUUUACCAUAUUAUCCUCAUUUAAUUAAUAAUUUUAAUUCUUAAUCUUUCAAUUAACUAAGGGUAUUUUAUGGUAUUUUGAAUGUUUCACCAUUCUCUGACUUUUGCUUGAUAUAUAUAGAUAAUGAGAUGGACUAAAUUUACCUUACGUGAAUUAUGUGUAGGCUUCGGUGGGUUGUAUUAUAAAUGAUGGGCUAAGAAAAAAAACCACACAUGGGCUAUAGCCCAAGUUAAUCUUUACUAAGGACCGUCCCUAAUUAUGAUACAACCCACAAUCAAAUUGGUCUACAAAUAUCUGUUCAAAAAAUCUCAUAUAUACAUAAAGAAACAGUGCAUGCAAACACGUGCAUCCAUGAACAAGAAAAUCUUAGGUGGCGAUUGGUAUCUAUUCAAGUAUGAAAUUCAAAAACUUUGAUUUUUCGUAAAAACAAAGAGUUCUAAAAUCAAACUUUUAAGAUUAAAAAAUUUGUUUGGUAUUCAAGGAGGGAACUCAAACUUUAAAAACAAGGAGUUCUAAAAUCCAUACUUUAAGAUUAAAAAUAAUUUGUCGUAAAAAUUCUUAAAAAACCGAUUUGUUUGGGUUUUAAGUAUUUGUGUGGUUUUGAGUAACUAAGUCUACCAAACAUAUUUUCUGAAUUUUGGACUCAAUUUAUUUUUUUAAAGUUUAAAAAGUUGAAUUCAAAUAAAAUACCAAACAUACACUUAACAUCCUUUCGAUAUCACAUUUGUCGUAUUUUUCAAACAAAAUUAAAGACAAAUACGAGAUGGGGAGGCAUUAGACAAUUGAGAUUGAGCAAAAAUAAAAAAAAACAUAAAGAGAAUGAGAUAAUAUUUAGUUUCAAAUUACAAAAAAAAUGAAAUAAUAUUAUUCUUUUCAUUUUUUAUCCAUUCUCUUGUCACCUCUAGUAUGGGCGCUCGUCCUCGGGCUGGUACAUGGGAUCGUAGCUGCAAACGAUGUAGUUCUUUCCAUCCUUGCACUUUGAAAUGCCACAUCCGACCUCGGUAGUUUUGCCCCAGAUCACAGCAAGGUAGUGACCACAUUCCUCUUUGACACAUUUGUUGGACUUGGGGUCAUAGAACUCUUUCUCGGUGACCCAAUAUUUAGUGCCAGCUGCGCCAGUCAUGCCGUCACCCGAGGUCAAGUUCUCACCCCAACGCCCUCUUGAGUGCUCCAUAGCGCAGUCGUCAACUCUUUUGUUGGCAUAUUCUUGGGCAUACUGGGCCAAGGU
rnacentral:lncRNA from 1 species